AACGCGAAGAACCUUACCCAGGCUUGACAUGCAGUGGACCGGACCAGAGAUGGUUCAUUCCUUCGGGACCACUGCACAGGUGCUGCAUGGCUGUCGUCAGCUCGUGCCGUGAGGUGUUGGGUUAAGUCCCGCAACGAGCGCAACCCUUAUCGUUAGUUGCCAACAUGUAAAGAUGGGAACUCUAACGAGACUGCCUGGGUUAACCAGGAGGAAGGUGAGGAUGACGUCAAGUCCGCAUGGCCCUUAUGUCUGGGGCUACACACGUGCUACAAUGGUCGGUACAGAGGGCAGCAGAACCGUGAGGCGAAGCAAAUCCCCCAAAGCCGGCCCCAGUUCAGAUUGUAGUCUGCAACUCGACUACAUGAAGAUGGAAUUGCUAGUAAUGGCGAGUCAGCAACAUCGCCGUGAAUACGUUCCCGGGCCUUGUACACACCGCGUGUCU
rnacentral:rRNA from 1 species